UAAGAAGAAACAUAUAGAGCCUGUUCCACGAUCUCGAAAGAAAAUUUGUGCGAACGAAGGCUACUCACUCACUUUCGUAUAAGAAUGCGUUCCACUAUCUUUCGUUCUUUCUUUCGCAUAGCCUUACGUGAUUCAGUGUUGCUAAAUAUUUUUUUGGAAAAAUUAAUCGCGAAAUAAAGCAAAAAAAGCGUCAAAUGUCUAAUUUAAACGCGAAAAAGCAGCAGUGGCUCUGUCUCAACUGACAUUUCAGUUGUAAACAAACAAAUUGUAAAUAAACAAACGAAAUAAAAUUUCUAGUGAUUGUGUUCAAACUAUUUGUGCUCUUAGAAAAUAAAAAAAAGAAUAUUUCCGUAGCCCUAUUUUUUAUGGAGGAGGUUCGAAAUGUGCCACGGAGGAAUUUAAGAGAUGCUUCGAAUUUAUUUGAAGUACCUAACAACCAGUUUGUGGCCAACUUUCGUGUGUCGAAGGAAGUUUUCGGGCUCUUUUGGAUAUGAUGGAAGAGAAGUGGGUGCCCGGUUGCAGAACUACCCAAAUCCGCCCCGAUUUAAAACUUCUUCUGCUGCUUCCAAAAAUUGGCAUUCCUCUGGCGAACACAGGAUUCUCCUCCAUUUACUCAACUAGUGCCCGCAGCUGUGUAGUUGAUGAUUUUUUCGUGCUGGAAUUGAGAAAAUAAAAAAUAUAUAUAUUUGUUGUUCACAUAUUAAA